rnacentral:rRNA from 1 species
CGGUGUUUAACUGGCGUGAUGUGGGACGUCCUACCGGUGGGCUUAGCCUCGCGAGGGGCGGCCCAACUAAUAUCCCGUCGCGGUGCUCUUUACUGAGUGUCGAGUCGGGCCGGUACGUUUACUUUGAACAAAUUAGAGUGCUUAAAGCAGGCUAUCCUCGCCUGAAUACUGCGUGCAUGGAAUAAUGGAAUAGGACCUCGGUUCUAUUUUGUUGGUUUUCGGAACCCCGAGGUAAUGAUUAAUAGGGACAGAUGGGGGCAUUCGUAUUGCGACGUUAGAGGUGAAAUUCUUGGAUCGUCGCAAGACGGACAGAAGCGAAAGCAUUUGCCAAAAAUGUUUUCAUUAAUCAAGAACGAAAGUUAGAGGUUCGAAGGCGAUCAGAUACCGCCCUAGUUCUAACCAUAAACGAUGCCAGCUAGCGAUCCGCCGAAGUUCCUCCGAUGACUCGGCGGGCAGCUUCCGGGAAACCAAAGCUUUUGGGUUCCGGGGGGAAGUAUGGUUGCAAAGCUGAAACUUAAAGGAAUUGACGGAAGGGCACCACCAGGAGUGGAGCCUGCGGCUUAAUUUGACUCAACACGGGAAACCUCACCAGGCCCAGACACCGGAAGGAUUGACAGAUUGAUAGCUCUUUCUUGAUUCGGUGGGUGGUGGUGCAUGGGCCGUUCUUAGUUGGUGGAGCGAUUUGUCUGGUUAAUUCCGAUAACGAACGAGACUCUAGCCUGCUAAAUAGGCGUACCUUAUGGUAUCGCGAAGGCCCCCGGCUUCGGCCGGUGGGUUUUUACUACCAACGUACAAACAAAUCUUCUUAGAGGGACAGGCGG